rnacentral:rRNA from 1 species
UUGCAUGCAGUCGCACGGGCGGCUUUCGGGCUGUCAGUGGCGAACGGCUGAGGAACACNUACGAAUCUGCCCUCCGGUGGGGAAUAACGCACCGAAAGGUGUGCUAAUACCGCGUACGCGCGCAAGCGGAAAGCCGCGAGGCGCCGGGGGAGGAGCGUGCGGCCCAUCAGAUAGUUGGCGGGGUAAAAGCCCACCAAGUCGUUGACGGGUCGCUGGUCUGUGAGGACGAUCAGCCAGACUGGGACUGCGACACGGCCCAGACACCUACGGGUGGCAGCAGCAAGGGAUCUUCGGCACUGGGCGCAAGCCUGACCGAGCAACGCCGCGUGCAGGAUGACGGCUUUCGGGUUGUAAACUGCUUUGAGGUGGGAUGAAACGGACAGUACCACCAAAACAAGCCCCGGCUAACUCUGUGCCAGCAGCCGCGGUAAGACAGAGGGGGCGAGCGUUGUCCGGAGUGACUGGGCGUACAGCGCGCGCAGGCGGAUUCUGACGUGCCGUGUAACAGCGCACUGCUCACCAGUGCGUAGCCAUGGUAAACGGGGAGUCUAGAGACCGUGAGAGGAAUGUGGAAUACCCGGUGGAGCGGUGAAAUGCGUANAGAUCGGGUGGAACACCAGGGGCGAAGGCGGCAUUCUGGCACGGACCUGACGCUGAGGCGCGAGAGCGUGGNGAGCAAACGGGAUUAGAUACCNCGGUAGUCUACGCCGUAACAAUGU